CCUAACGGCGUGCCUCGGCAUC
rnacentral:siRNA from 1 species